UUAGUUCACUUAUCCAGAAGUGAUCUCAAUGAUUAGGAGUUGAGCCAAGGAAAUAAGCAAAGCAGCUAAGUGAAGGGUAAGCAACUGAAAUACUUACAAACUGAACCCUCUCUCUUAUGCUCUGAACUCACAGAAAAGGGCCUUAGAGCACUCCCCAGUAUCUAUUUAUUUUAUUUAAGAUACAAUUCUAAUAGCAAAAUGGAAAUAGUUGUUGCAAAGAGAUAAAAAGGAUGCUGUCCAAGUCAGGCAACUGAAAGUGGCAAGAAAUGACAGAACUGACAAUGAUAAAAGAAAUGGAUAAAUCAAAAUGGCAGGAAAAAAAAAUUCAUGAACAUUUUCUCAGUGUGGGACCAUUCUGCGUAGAGUAAAAUAAAAAUAAUUAAGCAAAACACAGAUUUGGUGUUCAUAUUUCAUAACCCUCUAAUAUCAGAAAAUAUGCGAUCUGUGUUAGGAAGACAAUUGAUGUAUCUUAGAAAUAGUUCCAACAUAAAAGGUUAAGUUAUUUUAAAUUCAGUCAUCUUGAAAAUAAGUGCAAUGCUAACUCCUCAUGUUGUUCUUCAUGGAUUACAAGGAAGCAGUGGAGUAUCACAGUUAAAAGGAUGCAUAUGGUUCCCAACUGCCCAGAUUUCAAAUCCCAGCUAUGCCGUGUGUGACCUUGGACAACUCACUUAACGUCUCUGAAGCUCAAUUCCUCCACUGCAAAAUGGGUAGUGGUUUACUAUUUUAGACCUCAAGGAUCCAAUGAUCUGGGAACACAGUUCAUCUGAGGAUAGGCAUUACAAGGUAAACACAGUGUUGAUAAAAGUUCUGUGUCCCUGAUGGUGUCAAGAAGAAAUGUGCCAUCAUUUUCAGGUAAAAACAACAACAAAUAAACAAACAAAACUAAAACAACCAGGAAAUCUGCAUCUGCUUCCUGAAAUAUGUCCACAAAAAUCAAAUAGGUAUAGAUAUACUUUUGCCUUAAACAGAUAAAUGAAAUUUUUGAGUAUCAAAAAAUUAUUUUCAACAUCCACAAAAUACUGAAACAGUACUCUUUAAAACAGUCAAGGUAAUGACAAACAAGGAAAGACAGAGAAAAUGUCACAGACCAGAGAAGACACGGCAUGAUGACUGAAUGUAAGGGAGUGUCCUGAAUUGGAUCCUAGAACAGAUAAAGAUUAUUAGUAAAAAGCAGUUGAAAUUUGCACAAGGACUGGAGUUUAGUUAAUAGUAAUGUAUAAAUGUUAACCUCAUAAUUUUGAUGACUGUAAUGUGGUUAUGUACAAUGUUAGCACUGAGGAAACUAGGUUAGGGGUAUUCAAGAACUCUCUGUACUAUCUUUGCAACUUUUCCAGAAAUCUAAAGUGAUUCCAAAAUAAAAAGUGUAUUUAGAAAAGUAUUUUCAGAUCUUUGAGAGGCAGGAGAGCGGGAACAACAUGCACCUUAAUGUCAGAAGGUUGAGUUUGUGUUUCCCUUUCACCACCAUCCAACAAGAUGACUUAAUGCAAGUUGGUUGAGCCUCAGGAUUCACAUUCAUAAAAGGGGGGGAUACAAUUUCUACCUUAUACAGUGUUAUUGAAAAGAACAAAUAAAAAAUUCAUGAACCCAUACAAAAAGUAACCAUAGGCACAACUAUUUUUCCAAACCCUGAUUUACAGCUUCAAUCUAACCUUAAAACUAUUUACUCAAUUGACACAUACAUUUUUCUUAUUUUACUUUUCGAAAAAGAUCAAUAAAUGAUCUGUGAUGCCUUCAAUAGAGAAAAAUUAAGAGUUGGAUAUCAGUCUCAGAGGGUUUACAUUUUCAAGAUGUUUUUCUUUCAAAAGUAACAUUGAGCUUGUUGAACUUGACAAAUUAGUGUUUUUUCGGAAAAUCUCCUGCACUGAUCUGGGGUGUCCCUGGGUGUGUAUGAAGACUUGGGCAAGAAAGAGCUCAAGAAAAAUUCAUGGAUUUGGUGUAUUACUUUAGGGUUGCGUGAUUCUGACUAACUUUAAGCCAAAACUAGGUAGAGGCAAAACGUUGCUGUGGAAGUUGUGAGAAAGUCCUUGGCAGAAAGAGCAGGCAGUGAGAGGAACAGGGGUGAAAUUAUCCUUUCAUUUUCUGGAAGGUACUGCCAGUGAAGUGGUUAAGAGUAUAGGCUUUUGAUCCAGACCUUCUGGAUUUGAAGCCAAACUCUGACUCUUCCUUUUUAGAGCUUGGGCAGGUGACUUAAGCUCUGUGUCUUGUUUAAAGAUAAUUAAUAAGGACAUGAUCCUAUCUGUAUUUUGGAAAACUCCUCUGGAAGCAGUGUGGAUGAUCGAUUAGAGCAACAUCAGACCCAACAAGGGCCGUGGUAGAGAAGCCAGCACAAUAGUAGAGAGGUGAUGAGGGCCUAAGCUGCACAGGGAGCCCUGAGCAUGGGGAGAAGGAGUCUAGAAAACCAUGAAGGAGAUGGGUAUCAGCAGAAAGUGGGGGAAUCAGGGAAAGAAAGGACUCUAGAUGGAUUCUUAGGCUCCUGGAGACUGGGAUUUUGUCCAUUAACCAAGAUAGAGAAUCAUGGAAGAGUAGGGAAAAGUCAUGCUUGUGAUUUGGGACAUACUACAUGUUUGUGUUUGGGGACAUUAAGAAGGAAAUGCCUAUCUGGGACAGGAACUUGUGUUUUAUCUCAUAUACCACUCUGAGUAAAUGGGAGCUUAAAGAGAGUUAAGUACAAGAUAGGGGUUAAGAAUGCUGUUUCUUUGACUUACUAGCUGUGUGUUUAAAAGGGUCAAUUGUUUAACUUUUCUGCUGCUUUUUCUUUUGUUUUGUUUUGUUUGUUUGUUUGUUUUAAGACAGAGUUUUGCUCUUGUUGCCCAGGCUGGAGUGUAAUGGCACGAUCUCAGCUCACUGCAACCUCCACCUCCCAAGUUCAAGCAAUUCUCCUGCCUCAGCCUCCAUAGGCAUCCACCACCACGCCCGGCCAAUUUUGUAUUUCUAGUAGAGGCGGGGUUUCUCCAUGUUGUUCAAGC
rnacentral:lncRNA from 1 species